GAGCACGUAGGUGGGUUUGUAAGUCAGAUGUGAAAGCCUUCUGCUCAAAGGAAGAACGGCAUCUGAAGCUGCAGAUCUUGAGUGUAGGAGGGGAGAGUGGAACUUCUGGUGGAGCGGUGAAAUGCGUAGAUAUCAGAAGGAACGUCGGCGGCGAAAGCGACUCUCUGGCCUAUUACUGACACUGAGUGUGCGAAAGUUAGGGGAGCAAACGGGAUUAGAUACCCCGGUAGUCCUAACUGUAAACGAUGGGCACUAAGUAGAGGG
rnacentral:rRNA from 1 species